rnacentral:rRNA from 1 species
GACGAACGCUGGCGGCGUGCUUAACACAUGCAAGUCGAACGGAAAGGCCCUGCUUUUGUGGGGUGCUCGAGUGGCGAACGGGUGAGUAACACGUGAGUAACCUGCCCUUGACUUUGGGAUAACUUCAGGAAACUGGGGCUAAUACCGGAUAGGAGCUCCUGCUGCAUGGUGGGGGUUGGAAAGUUUCGGCGGUUGGGGAUGGACUCGCGGCUUAUCAGCUUGUUGGUGGGGUAGUGGCUUACCAAGGCUUUGACGGGUAGCCGGCCUGAGAGGGUGACCGGCCACAUCGGGACUGAGAUACGGCCCAGACUCCUACGGGAGGCGACAGUGGGGAAUAGUGCACAAUGGGCGGAAGCCUGAUGCAGCAACGCCGCGUGCGGGAUGACGGCCUUCGGGUUGUAAACCGCUUUCGCCUGUGACGAAGCGUGAGUGACGGUAAUGGGUAAAGAAGCACCGGCUAACUACGUG